GGGGGCGUUACUGGUUUCGACGGGGAGCAUUGGUCAAAAUGUAAAGCAUGUGGUGUGCCUGCACCUUAACUAAGGCAAUUUGCAAAUAAACGCAAACGAAAAUAAAGUUGUUCGUAUGGACAAUGCAAGUUUAGCUUACGCUGCCUAAUCGAACAAAAACAAUUUGGUUAAAGAUUUAACCUGCUCUAGUUGUAAUUUCGCUUGAUUACUUCAAAGGGUAUUAAAAAUAAGCGCUCUGCAAUCAUAAAUUUGUCUUUAUAAUGAUUGUAUACAAUAAAAGACUGGCUAAUAAAAAGUUGUUUAUGGCUUAAUUAUUAGUAAGAAAAAAGUAUAAACUAAACAUGUAGAAAAGUUUUGAACAAGUUUUUCGGAAGUGGGUUCAAAUCCCACCGUCUCCACCA
rnacentral:tmRNA from 1 species